rnacentral:rRNA from 1 species
GACGAACGCUGGCGGCGUGCUUAACACAUGCAAGUCGAACGGUGAAGCGCCUUCCUUUUUGGUGGGUGUGGAUGAGUGGCGAACGGGUGAGUAACACGUGAGUAACCUGCCCCCUUCUUCUGGAUAACCGCAUGAAAGUGUGGCUAAUACGGGAUAUUCUGGGUCUGUCGCAUGAUGGGUCUGGGAAAGAUAUUGUUUCGGUGGGGGAUGGGCUCGCGGCCUAUCAGCUUGUUGGUGGGGUGAUGGCCUACCAAGGCGGUGACGGGUAGCCGGCCUGAGAGGGUGGACGGUCACACUGGGACGGAGACACGGCCCAGACUCCUACGGGAGGCAGCAGUGGGGAAUAUUGCACAAUGGGCGCAAGGCUGAUGCAGCGACGCCGCGUGAGGGAUGGAGGCCUUCGGGUUGUGAACCUCUUUCGCCAGUGAAGCAGGCCUGCCUCGUUUGUGGGUGGGUUGACGGUAGCUGGAGAAGAAGCGCCGGCUAACUACGUG